rnacentral:snoRNA from 1 species
AAGACUAUACUUUUCAGGAGAUUAUUCAGAUAAGCUUCUAUAGUUUUUUUUCUGAAACCUGUAGAGCACCAGAAACCAUGGAACAAAGAGAGUGUAGCAUUCUCUCCUGAUGUGAGGCCGGCUCUUGGUGCUACCUCACUGAAACACCAUAAGCCACUGAUGAUCAUUCUUCUUUACUCUGAGAGAGUAAGGAAGAGAUGACACAGUCUGAGUGGU